AUGAGGUGCAGUGGCGACGAGCGGCUACUGGUGGGCGUCUACGUCGACGAUCUUAUCAUCACCGGGCCAAGCAUGGAGGCCAUCACGCAGUUCAAGCAUCAGAUGCAGUCCGUCUUCUCCAUGAGCGACUUCGGGCUGCUGAGCUACUACCUCGGCAUGGAGGUGCACCAGGGAGACGACAUGAUCACCCUCAAGCAGGCAAGCUAUGUGGCCAAGAUUGUGGACAAGGCCGGGCUGACGGGCUGCAAUCCAGUUCACAUUCCAAUGGAGCCGCGCCUGAAGCUGAGCAAGGAAAGCUCGAGUCUGUCAAUGGACAGAAAGCUCUACCGCAGCAUCGUCGGCAGUCUUCGUUACCUGGUGCACUCACGGCCAGACAUUUCAUUUGCGGUCGGUUUCGUCAGCAGGUUCAUGGAAGCACCCACAACAGAGCACUGGGGGGCGGUGAAGCAGCUGCUGUGGUACGUUGCAGGCACUCUGAACUAUGGGUGCAGAUACAAGAAAGGUGACGCGGAGCCGCAGCUGGUUGGAUACAGUGAUGCGGACUUUGCCGGCGAUGUUGAUGACAGAAAGAGCACCUCUGGAACAGUAUUUGUGUUCGGCAAGAGUGUGAUCAGCUGGCAGUCCCAGAAGCAGAAGGUGAUCGCCCUCUCGUCGUGCGAAGCCGAGUACAUGACGGCGACCACAGCUGCGUGCACAGGAGUCUGGCUUCGGAGGAUGCUUGGUGAUCUGCUAGGUGACCCGGGGAGUGCAACACCACUGCUCAUCGACAACAAAUCAGCGAUCCAACUUUGCAAAAAUCAUGUCUUUCAUGACAGAACCAAGCACAUCGAAACGCGGUUUCACUUCAUUCGCGAGUGUGUGCAAGAUGGAAGGAUCGCCGUCGACUACGUCCACACUGGCGAGCAACUGGCGGACAUAAUGACCAAGGCACUGCCUCGAGUAAAGUUCCAGGAGCUGCGGGAGAAGCUGGGCAUGAUCAACAUCAGCAACUGA
rnacentral:rRNA from 1 species